rnacentral:rRNA from 1 species
UGCAUGAAGCCGGAAUCGCUAGUAAUCGCAGAUCAGAAUGCUGCGGUGAAUACGUUCCCGGGUCUUGUACACACCGCCCGUCACACCAUGGGAGUCGAUAACGCCCGAAGUCAGUGACCCAACCGAGAGGAGGGAGCUGCCGAAGGCGGGAUGGAUAACUGGGGUGAAGUCGUAACAAGGUACC